GACGAACGCUGGCGGCGUGCCUAACACAUGCAAGUCGAACGCAGUGGGGACGGGUGAGUAACACGUGGGUAACAUGCCAUCAGAGGGGAUAACACUUGGAAACAGGUGCUAAACCGAUACUGAUGGAUGGACUCGCGGUGCAUUAGCUAGGUGGUGGGGUAACGGCUCACCAAGGCCACGAUGCAUAGCCGACCUGAGAGGGGGAUCGGCCACACUGGGACUGAGACACGGCCCAGACUCCUACGGGAGGCAGCAGUGGGGAAUAUUGCACAAUGGGCGCAAGCCUGAUGCAGCCAUGCCGCGUGUAUGAAGAAGGCCUUCGGGUUGUAAAGUACUUUCAGCGGGGAGGCGUUACCCGCAGAAGAAGCACCGGCUAACUCCGUGCCAGCAGCCGCGGUAAUUC
rnacentral:rRNA from 1 species